AGGGAUUCCCCUAGUAACGGCGAGCGAACGGGGAAGAGCCCAGCGCCGAAUUCCGCGUCCCGAGAGGGCGUCUGGAAAAUGUGGCGUUUACGAGGCUUCCUUCCGAGGGUGCGACGGCGUCGCAAGUCCCCCUGACCGGGGCUGUGACCCAGAGCGGGUGCGAGGCCCGUAGCUGACGCCGUCCCCUUCGGACGAGGCCUCUCGGGAGUCGGGCUGUUUGGGAGUGCAGCCCUAAGAGGGUGGUAAACUCCACCUAAGGCUAAAUACGGCCGUGAGACCGAUAGCAAACAAGUACCGUGAGGGAAAGUUGCAAAGAACUUUGAAGAGAGAGUUCAAGAGUACGUGAAACCGCUCAGAGGCAAACGGGUGGGCCCUCGAAAGCCAGUGGCGGGGGGAUUCAGUCGAGAGGCGGAGAGCCGUGGCCGGUCGAACAGAACGGACCCGCAACAGGCCGGGCCGACCGCCGGAGUCUCGCUGCUCUCUCGACGCACUUCCUCCCGCUCGAUGGACGCCGCAACCGGUUGGACGCAGGCCAUGAGCGCGGACGCGGAAGGUGGCCGGUGGUUGGGCCUUGCGCCCCGCCGCCGGUUGUUGUCCGGUCCGCCGCGAGGCGCUGCGGCCGACCGUGGUACUCGGCCCCGAUUCUUCGGGCCUUGCCGCGCCCUGCACGCGAUGAGCAGCGGGCGGCCGGGCAGGCGUUCCUCCGCGAGAAGUUGCAACGGCCGUCCCGCUCGAGUGGCGGGCGGUCCUCGGAGGUCGCCGUUGGCCCGGCUCGGAGUCACCCCGCGCGGGCGCAGGCGGUUGGCGGCGAGUAGGUCGGUCACCCACCCGACCCGUCUUGAAACACGGACCAAGGAGUCUAACAUGUGCGCGAGUCAUUGGGACUUGCACAGGCCCAAAGGCGCAAUGAAAGUGAAGGGCGGCCCUGGACGCCGUCCGAGUUGGGACCCCGUAGAUGUAUGUUACAGGUGUGCGGGGGCACCAACGACCCGUCCCGUCCGCAUCGUCGGUGGGGCGGAGUGUGAGCGUACACGUUGGGACCCGAAAGAUGGUGAACUAUGCCUGGGCAGGACGAAGCCAGAGGAAACUCUGGUGGAGGUCCGUAGCGAUUCUGACGUGCAAAUCGAUCGUCAGACCCGGGUAUAGGGGCGAAAGACUAAUCGAACCAUCUAGUAGCUGGUUCCCUCCGAAGUUUCCCUCAGGAUAGCUGGCGCUCGAACGGGAAUCAGUCUCAUCCGGUAAAGCGAAUGAUUAGAGGCCUUGGGGCCGAAACGACCUCAACCUAUUCUCAAACUUUAAAUGGGUGAGAAGUCCGGCUUGCACGAGUGAAGCUCGGACGAUGCAGGAUGAGAGUGCCCAGUGGGCCACUUUUGGUAAGCAGAACUGGCGCUGUGGGAUGAACCAAACGCCGGGUUACGGCGCCCGAUGCGAGACGCUCACGAGAGCCCAUGAAAGGUGUUGGUUGCUAUAGACAGCAGGACGGUGGCCAUGGAAGUCGGAACCCGCUAAGGAGUGUGUAACAACUCACCUGCCGAAGCAACUAGCCCUGAAAAUGGAUGGCGCUGCAGCGUCGAGCCCAUACCCGGCCGCCGCGGCAGAGUGUAAUCCGACCGUCGGACGGAUGUUUACGCCGCGGCGAGUAGGAGGGUCGCGGCGGCGAGCGUUGAAGGUGCCGGGCGCGAGCCCGCCUGGAGCCGCCGCCGGUGCAGAUCUUGGUGGUAGUAGCAAAUACUCAAGUGAGAACCUUGAGGACUGAGGUGGAGAAGGGUUCCAUGUGAACAGCAGUUGAACAUGGGUCAGUCGGUCCUAAGGGAUAGGAGAAAUCCGUUCCGAAGCGGGUGUACGUAACGUGUGCUUGCCCGCCGACCGACCGAAAGGGAAUCGGGUUAAUAUUCCCGAACCCGGACGCGGAGAUCGGCCCUUCGGGGCCAGGUGCGGCGACGCAACCGAACUCGGAGACGUCGACGGGAGUCCCGGGAAGAGUUGUCUUUUCUUUGUAAGGGCUCGGCUCCCUGGAAUCGGCUCGUCCGGAGAUAGGGAUGCUGUUCCCGUAAAGCACCGCGGCUCUUGCGGUGUCCGGAGCGCUCCCGUCGGCCCUUGAAAAUCCGAGGGAGGAAAUGAUUUUCGUGCCGGACCGUACCCAUAUCCGCAGCAGGUCUCCAAGGU
rnacentral:rRNA from 1 species